GAUGAACGCUGGCGGCGUGCCUAAUACAUGCAAGUCGAGCGAACAGACGAGGAGCUUGCUCCUCUGACGUUAGCGGCCGACGGGUGAUUAACACGUGGAUAACCUACCUAUAAGACUGGGAUGACUUCAGCAAACAGGAUCUAAUACCGAAUAAUAUAUUGCACCGCAUGGUUCAAUCGUGAAAGAAGGUUUUUCUGUCACUUAUAGAUGGAUCCGCGCCGCAUUAGCUAGUUGGUAAGGUAACGGCUUACCAAGGCAACGAUGCGUAGCCGACCUGAGAGGGUGAUCGGCCACACUGGGACUGAGACACGGUCCAGACCCCUACGGGAGGCAGCAGUAGGGAAUCUUCCGCAAUGGGCGAAAGCCUGACCGAGCAACGCCGCGUGAGUGAUGAAGGUCUUCGGAUCGUAAAACUCUGUUAUUAGGGAAGAACAAAUGUGUAAGUAACUAUGCACGUCUUGACGGUACCUAAUCAGAAAGCCACGGCUAACUACGUG
rnacentral:rRNA from 1 species